GACGAACGCUGGCGGCGUGCUUAACACAUGCAAGUCGAACGGAAAGGCCCUGCUUUUGUGGGGUGCUCGAGUGGCGAACGGGUGAGUAACACGUGAGUAACCUGCCCUUGACUUUGGGAUAACUUCAGGAAACUGGGGCUAAUACCGGAUAGGAGCUCCUGCUGCAUGGGGGGGGUUGGAAAGUUUCGGCGGUUGGGGAUGGACUCGCGGCUUAUCAGCUUGUUGGUGGGGUAGUGGCUUACCAAGGCUUUGACGGGUAGCCGGCCUGGGAGGGUGACCGGCCACCUUGGGCCUAAGAUACGGCCCAGACUCCUACGGGAGGCAGCAGUGGGGAAUAUUGCACAAUGGGCGGAAGCCUGAUGCAGAAGCGCCGCGUGCGGGAUGACGGCCUUCGGGUUGUAAACCGCUUUCGCCUGUGACGAAGCGUGAGUGACGGUACUGGGUAAAGAAGCACCGGCUAACUACGUG
rnacentral:rRNA from 1 species